CCUACGGGAGGCAGCAGUGGGGAAUAUUGGACAAUGGGCGAAAGCCUGAUCCAGCCAUGCCGCGUGUGUGAAGAAGGCCUUCGGGUUGUAAAGCACUUUCAGUGGGGAAGAAAGCCUUGGGGCUAAUACCCUCGAGGAAGGACAUCACCCACAGAAGAAGCACCGGCUAACUCCGUGCCAGCAGCCGCGGUAAUACGGAGGGUGCGAGGCGUUAAUCGGAAUUACUGGGCGUAAAGCGCGCGUAGGCGGUCUGAUAAGCCGGUUGUGAAAGCCCCGGGCUCAACCUGGGAACGGCAUCCGGAACUGUCAGGCUAGAGUGCAGGAGAGGAAGGUAGAAUUCCCGGUGUAGCGGUGAAAUGCGUAGAGAUCGGGAGGAAUACCAGUGGCGAAGGCGGCCUUCUGGACUGACACUGACGCUGAGGUGCGAAAGCGUGGGUAGCAAACAGGAUUAGAUACCCGUGUAGU
rnacentral:rRNA from 1 species